AGUGAACGCUGGCGGUAGGCCUAACACAUGCAAGUCGAACGGCAGCACAGUAAGAGCUUGCUCUUACGGGUGGCGAGUGGCGGACGGGUGAGGAAUACAUCGGAAUCUACUUUUUCGUGGGGGAUAACGUAGGGAAACUUACGCUAAUACCGCAUACGACCUACGGGUGAAAGCAGGGGAUCUUCGGACCUUGCGCGAUUGAAUGAGCCGAUGUCGGAUUAGCUAGUUGGCGGGGUAAAGGCCCACCAAGGCGACGAUCCGUAGCUGGUCUGAGAGGAUGAUCAGCCACACUGGAACUGAGACACGGUCCAGACUCCCACGGGAGGCAGCAGUGGGGAAUAUUGGACAAUGGGCGCAAGCCUGAUCCAGCCAUACCGCGUGGGUGAAGACGGCCUUCGGGUUGUAAAGCCCUUUUGUUGGGAAAGAAAAGCAGCAGGUUAAUACCCCGCUGUUCUGACGGUACCCAAAGAAUAAGCACCGGCUAACUUCGUG
rnacentral:rRNA from 1 species